rnacentral:rRNA from 1 species
GGGAACUACGAGCUAAGCUUAAAACCUAAANGACUUGACGGUACCCCAUAUCCCCCUAGAGGAGCCUGUCCUUUAAUCGACAAUCCCCGUUUUACCUCACCAUUUUUUGCUAAAUCAGCCUGUAUACUUCCGUCGUCAGCUUACCACGUGAGCGUCAGUGAGCCCAAUGUUUUUUCAACUACACGUCAGGUCAAGGUGCAGCACAUGAAAUGGAAAGAGAUGGGCUACACUCUCUAAUAUAGAGAAUACGAAAAACUUUAUGAAAUCUAGUCAAAAGGUGGGAUUAAGAAGUAAAAAGGAAUCAGAAGAG